rnacentral:rRNA from 1 species
UACCUUAAGACAAAAAUAAUUUAAGGCAAGCCCUGCCCAGUGAAAUCUUCAACGGCCGCGGUAUCCUAACCGUGCAAAGGUAGCAUAAUAACUUGCCUAUUAAUUAUAGGAUAGAAUGAAAGGGUAAACGAAAUAGGAGCUGUCUCUAUUAGCCCAAUGAAAAUUAUUUUUUAACUGAAGAAAGUUAAAUUCAACUGAAGGACAAGAAGACCCUAUAGAGCUUAAUUUAACCUACUAAAUAAGUAAAAAUUAAAUUCGGUUGGGGCGACCGAUGCUCUACAAAUCAUCACCCUCAAAAAGAAAUAUACAUCUCAAAAAAGACCCUGACCCAGAUCAAAAAAACAAGCUACCUUAGGGAUAACAGGCUAAUCUCAUUAAUGAGUCCCCAUCUAUAAUGUUGGUUGGCACCUCGAUGUUGGCUUAGGGAAUCAAAAGGGCGCAGAAGCUUUUUAAGACGGUUUGUUCAACCAUUAAACCCCUA